rnacentral:rRNA from 1 species
AUUGAACGCUGGCGGCAUGCCUUACACAUGCAAGUCGAGCGGCAGCGCGGGGGCAACCCUGGCGGCGAGCGGCGGACGGGUGAGUAAUGCAUCGGAACGUGUCCUCUUGUGGGGGAUAACCAGUCGAAAGAUUGGCUAAUACCGCAUGAGCUCGUAAGAGGAAAGCGGGGGAUCCGUAAGGACCUCGCGCGAGAGGAGCGGCCGAUGCCCGAUUAGCUAGUUGGNGGGGUAACGGCCUACCAAGGCGACGAUCGGUAGCUGGUCUGAGAGGACGACCAGCCACACUGGGACUGAGACACGGCCCAGACUCCUACGGGAGGCAGCAGUGGGGAAUUUUGGACAAUGGGCGCAAGCCUGAUCCAGCCAUGCCGCGUGUGUGAAGAAGG